AGUGAACGCUGGCGGUAGGCCUAACACAUGCAAGUCGAACGGCAGCACAGUAAGAGCUUGCUCUUACGGGUGGCGAGUGGCGGACGGGUGAGGAAUAUAUCGUAAUCUACUUUUUCGGGGGGGAUAACGUAGGGAAACUUACUCUAAUACCGCAUACGACCUACGGGUGAAAGCAGGGGAACUUCGGACCUGGCGCGAUUGAAUGAGCCGAUGUCGGGUUAGCUAGUUGGGGGGGUAAAGGCCCACCAAGGCGACGAUCCGUAGCAGGGCUGAGAGGGGGAGCCGCCCCGAGGGAACUGAGGGCCGCACCGGGAUCCUACGGCGGGCAGGAGUGGGGAAGAAGGGAGCAGGGGCGCAAGCUGGACACAGCCCUGACGCGUGGGUGAAGAAGGCCUUCGGGUUGUAAAGCGCUUUUGGUGGGAAAGAAGAGCAGCAGGUUAAUACCCCGCUGUUCUGACGGUACGCAAAGAAUAAGCACCGGAUAUACUCG
rnacentral:rRNA from 1 species